GAGAAAAACUUCUUUUAUAGCUCUUGCCUUUCUCAAAGGGGGAGGACUCAUCCUGGAGAGAAACCCCAUGGAUGUAUUCAACAUGGUAAAUCUUUUUGAUGGAGCUCUCACCUAGUUGCACAUCACAACUUAUACCAGAUAGAAAAUUUAUGAAUGUAAUCAAUGUGGAAAGUUUUUCAGCCUGGUGCUCCCACCUUGUUAGACGUAUACUGAAGACUCUGGGAACAUCGGGAACGUCAGAGAGCUUUCAGCAGGAGAUCUCAUCUAAUUGGGCAAUAGAAAACUCAUACUGAAGAAAAACAAUUCCAUGUAAUCAAUGUGAGAAAUAUUUCAGUGACAUCCUUGAUUUUAAUUGGCAUCAGGGAAAGUGUAAUAGAGAGAAGCCUUAUGAAUGUAGUCAAGGUAGGAAAUCUUUCUAUACAGCUCUGGCCUUGUUGCACAUAAAAUAACUCAUACUGGAAAGAAGCUUCGUGACUGUAAUCAGUGUUGGAAAUGGUUCAGUUAGAGUUCUCACUUGUUGCUCAUCAGAUAAAUCAUACCGGUGAGAAACUGCGAGUGUCCUGAGUGUAGGAAAUCAGCUGGAGCUGAUUACUUAUAUGGCAUCAGAGAUUUCACAUUAGAGAGAAACCUCAUGAAUGUCACUGGUGUGGAAAAUCCCGCAGCAAGAAUUCUCACCUUAUUGAACAGCAAAUAACUCAUUCUGGAGAGAAGCCUAUAAAUGUAGUCAACGUGGAAAAACUUUCAGACAGAAUUAUUAUUGUGUAUGCACCAAAAAAUUCAUAUGGGCAAAAGCCAACAUGAAUGUCUAAAUGUGAAAAAGCCUUCAGGAGACUAUCUGACCUUAUGGAACACCAGAUCAUUCAUAAUAGAGAGAAACUGUAUGCAUAUAAUCAGUGCAGAAAGGCCUUUCAGGCAGCAUUCUAAUCAUGUCAGGCACCAGAUAACUCAUUCUUGAGUCAAACUG
rnacentral:lncRNA from 1 species